rnacentral:rRNA from 1 species
UGAACUUAAGCCCCAGUAAACGGCGGCCGUAACUAUAACGGUCCUAAGGUAGCGAAAUUCCUUGUCGGGUAAGUUCCGACCCGCACGAAAGGCGUAACGAUUUGGGCACUGUCUCAACAACAGACUCGGUGAAAUUGUAAUUCCGGUGAAGAUGCCGGAUACCUGCGACAGGACGGAAAGACCCCAUGGAGCUUUACUGUAGCUUGACAUUGGGUCUUGGUACUACAUGUACAGGAUAGGUGGGAGGCUUUGAAACCAGGACGCCAGUUUUGGCGGAGCCAUCCUUGGGAUACCACCCUUGUAGUACUGGGACUCUAACCAUAGGCCAUGAAUCUGGUCUUGGGACACUGUCAGGUGGGCAGUUUGACUGGGGCGGUCGCCUCCCAAAAGGUAACGGAGGCGCUCAAAGGUUCUCUCAGUACGGUCGGAAAUCGUACGCAGAGUGUAAAGGCAAAAGAGAGCUUGAUUGCAAGACAUACAGGUCGAGCAAGGAUGAAAAUCGGACUUAGUGAUCCGGUGGUUCUGCGUGGAAGGGCCAUCGCUCAACGGAUAAAAGCUACCCUGGGGAUAACAGGCUUAUCUCCCCCAAGAGUCCACAUCGACGGGGAGGUUUGGCACCUCGAUGUCGGCUCAUCACAUCCUGGGGCUGUAGUAGGUCCCAAGGGUUGGGCUGUUCGCCCAUUAAAGUGGUACGCGAGCUGGGUUCAGAACGUCGUGAGACAGUUCGGUCCCUAUCCGUCGCAGGCGUAGGAAAUUUGAGAAGACCUGUCCUUAGUACGAGAGGACCGGGAUGGACGUACCUCUGGUGUACCAGUUGUUCUGCCAAGGGCAUGGCUGGGUAGCUAUGUACGGAAUGGAUAAGCGCUGAAAGCAUCUAAGCGCGAAGCC